GCCAGUUUGGUGUAGUGGUUUGAGCACUGGACUGUGACUCUGGGGACCAGGGUUCAAAUCUCACUUGGCC